rnacentral:rRNA from 1 species
GACGAACGCUGGCGGCGUGCCUAACACAUGCAAGUCGAACGGAGAUAUGAUUUCGGUUAUAUCUUAGUGGCGAACGGGUGAGUAACGCGUGAGCAACCUGACCUUCAGAGGGGGAUAACAUUUGGAAACAGAUGCUAAUACCGCAUAAGACCACGACCCGACAUCGGGACGAGGUCAAAGGAGCAAUCCGCUGAGGGAGGGGCUCGCGUCCCAUUAGAUAGAUGGCGGGGUAACGGCCCACCAUGUCAGCGAUGGGUAGCCGAGCUGAGAGGCUGAUCGGCCACACUGGAACUGAGACACGGUCCAGACUCCUACGGGUGGCAG